AAUGAACGUUGGCGGCGUGGAUUAGGCAUGCAAGUCGUACGGGCCAGCAAUGGUCAGUGGCGAAAGGGAGAGGAAUACGCAGGUAUCUACCUCCGGGUCGGGGAUAGCCACGGGAAACUGUGGGUAAUACCCGAUAACGUCUCCGGACCAAAGGUGUGAUUCCACCUGGAGAGGAGCCUGCGUCCUAUUAGCUUGUUGGCGGGGUAACGGCCCACCAAGGCUACGAUGGGUACGGGGUGUGAGAGCAUGCCCCCGCUCACUGGGACUGAGACACUGCCCAGACACCUACGGGUGGCUGCAGUCGAGAAUCUUCCGCAAUGGGCGCAAGCCUGACGGAGCGACGCCGCGUGUGGGAUGAAGGCCUUCGGGUUGUAAACCACUGUCGUAGGGGAGGAAGGACCGGUGCAGAGCCGGUUUUGACCUAUCCUAGGAGGAAGGGUGGGCUAAGUUCGUGCCAGCAGCCGCAGUAAAAC
rnacentral:rRNA from 1 species